AGUGUUUCCGUUAAGUAUAUUUUCGUCCAAACUCGUUAUUCGUUGUGUUGCGGAAUAACACGUGAGGAAUGGAAUCUACAUCAAGUUAUCUAUAAUUAUUUACACGGUUUGUGCUUCCAUGCAUAUUUUAAACCCGGAAGAUUUGAUCGUGGUAAAUAACCGUGUGAUAAAGCAACAAACAAGAAAGAGAUUAUAGUUCAUCAUUGUCAUCGAAUUUUGAUUAUCCAGAACUUUUGAACGAUUGAACAAAUUGGACAAACAUGUUUCAGUUAUCGUUGAAGAUUUUACUUGCUGUGUUGAUGUUUGUAAACCUAGCAUUUACGGUUCCCAUUGAAUCGGAAAAUAAAGCUAUCUUAACCGAUGUAAAAAAUAUAAAUCAAACGAAUACACAGCAUAUGGAUCAAAAAAAUCAGACGGAUCAUCAGAAAGAAUCUCUUAAGGACAUUGAAAGGAAUUCGACGAUCGUCAAGGAAAAUCAAGAUACGUUCUUGAAUGAAAGGGCAUCAUCAACGAAGGGAUUACCCCCAACGUUGCAGAAUGUAAGCGAAUCGCCGAUUGUACUGAAUCAUACUCGUCAAAAUACGACGAAACGACCAGUCGAAGAAACAACGCCAAUUAAUGAAGUAACUGAGAUUCAAAAACUAAACGAUUUUACCGGAGAGCAAAAGAAUUUGAAUCAGUGUUGCGUAACUCCACGCGACGAAGAUGACGUUACCACCAUUGAAACGGUGCAGCAGGAAAAAAUUAAUUCAUCCGUUAAUAACACUGUCUUAGAAAGUGCAUUUUCGACCACAUCAAAAAGCGUCACUGCAGACAAUGUUAUUUCAUCAAAAAUUAUUCCAGUCUCCAAGGACGUAAGUAAUGACACAAAAAAGGCCGAUAAUGACGUUAUCGAUAAAUUAAAAGCAACGAUGUACGAAACAAUUCCUCCUGAAUUGACUAACGCGACCACGGAGACAAGCAUGAUAUCAAAGUCCUCCGAGAUAACUAACGUGUCCUCCGAGAUAACCACCGUAUCUUCUGAGAAGGAUCAGAUAAAAGUUGAAAACAGUACUGUGAUGUUAGAAAAGAAAAAAGAAGUAGAACACGUAGGAUUAAGCCUGAAAAGCAAAGAAUCUAUCAAUAAAGAAGAUAGCAGUGGAAGUAUGCCACCUGGUAUUAUUGCAUUGGUAACAGCUAUCACAUUUGCUGUUGUGAUCAUUAUUGGAUAUAUCAGUAUGGUUAUCUGGAAGCAAUAUCUCGAACGCAAAUAUGGACGUCGAGAAUUAUUGGUGAACGAGUUGGAAUUCGAUACGAACGACUUGAGACAUUUUGAGCUCUGACUUUGGGAAAGCAAGGAUGGUAUAUCGUCUGAUGUAUGUCCGCCGAGUCAUAUGCAGAUCACGAGGACACUAACAAGACAACGAGUGAAUAUUUCAUGUGAAUGCUAGAUGUUAGAAUUAUAUGAUUAAUGAAUACGUGAUCAUUUCUUUAAAAGCAAAAUUGUGUAAUCGAUAAGAUAUAUAAUAUUAACAAAGACAAUAGUAUUUAUGCUACCGAUAAAAACAAAUUGUUUUUUUCUGUAGCAUGCUUCAUAGGUGUAUAUAUUUCAAAGAUAAUAAUAAACCAUGUAUGUUAUUUUUUUA